CUUCUCCUCAAUUUCUCUCACAUUUAAACCAUUAACUACCAUUUUCAAUUCUUAAAACCCCACAAGUGUAGCAAGAAAAAUGAAGAACAAAUUCUUCUUAUGUUUUCGACCCCCUCUUCUCAUUGAACCAGACCACAGUCAAGUAUUGCACUCUGAUUAUGGGAUUUCAACGUCGAAUGUUGUCGCAAAAGACCAGGAAAAACCCUGUUCUUCAACCAUAAAAUCUACACUUUUGGAUAAAAAUAAAUGUAGAUUUCCAGGACAAAACAAGUCUAGAAAGACAUUUUCUUCGGUUUUCGAAUUGCUCUCUCUAAAGGCUUCACUCGUUAGUUCCUUCUUCUUGAUCUUAUUUUGUUUUCUGUUUUGAUGUUUAUUUGUUAUGUUUCUGAUAGAAUAUUAUCUGGUUGUUUUAACAGAGAAAUAGGGCUCGCGAUAAAAACAUUCAUCGACUCAACCCUCAAUCCAAGAAAGUUAUUUCGCGAAAAAUGAGUAAGAGGCUGGAGGAUUUUGGCAAUGACGAAUCAGUAAAGCCAAAAGGAUUGGAUGCCAAUAUCAUACAAAUAAGCUCAGAUACGUCUAUACUUCCGGCUUCUUCGUCAAGUAAUUCAAAAAAUCUUGUACCAUUAUCCUCGCAACCAAUGCCUACGUCUACAGAUGAAACUUGUCAUAUUGCUACAAACACUUGUCCCGUUAGUUAUAACAUUUGGGGUCUUAUUUUCAUCACAUUUGCUCUGUUUUUAACCAUGUUUUGUGGUAAGACGAUUGCAAUUUUGUUUGCAUUAAUAUGGCUCUACGCGUUUCCUCUCCGACGGUGGGAGACCUGAGAAUUUGAUGCAGUCGCCGGAGACCGGAGAGUUCAAAAGAGCACACAACAAGAAGAAGGCAUACAAAGGACGGUGCAUUAAUGUUUUGACGUGAAAGAAAAUUUUCAGAUUCUUGAGUGCGUAUCUCUGUAGAAUUUAAAGCUUUAGGUUAAAAUAAAGCAUUCAAGUGAUUUCGUGUCUGAAUGUAUAUCUUUUCCUGUCAUAUUUUUGAUGUGGAGAAAGUGGAUGAAUCUCGAAACCAUGGUUUAACCCUUUUGGUGCAAAUAGC
rnacentral:lncRNA from 1 species